CCGUACUCCGGCCUGCUGGACGCCAACAUCACCAUCCUGGACAAGCUGAAGCAGAAGGAGGAGGUUUGCAGGUGUUUGGAAGAGAAAUUGGAAGAAAUCGGUCAAAACAUGAUCAGCAUUCAGCAAGAGCACAAACAGGAGCUUGAGAAGCUGCGAAAUCAGAAGACAAAGCUUCAACCGGCAGAGGAAGGCGAAGGUCUGACGGAGGAGAGGAAGCUGAUGGAGAAC